UUGAACGCUGGCGGCAGGCCUAACACAUGCAAGUCGAGCGGAUGAAGGGAGCUUGCUCCUGAAUUCAGCGGCGGACGGGUGGGUAAUGCCUAGGAAUCUGCCUGGUAGUGGGGGACAACGUUUCGAAAGGAACGCUAAUACCGCAUACGUCCUACGGGAGAAAGCAGGGGACCUUCGGGCCUUGCGCUAUCAGAUGAGCCUAGGUCGGAUUAGCUAGUUGGUGAGGUAAUGGCUCACCAAGGCGACGAUCCGUAACUGGUCUGAGAGGAUGAUCAGUCACACUGGAACUGAGACACGGUCCAGACUCCUACGGGAGGCAGCAGUGGGGAAUAUUGGACAAUGGGCGAAAGCCUGAUCCAGCCAUGCCGCGUGUGUGAAGAAGGUCUUCGGAUUGUAAAGCACUUUAAGUUGGGAGGAAGGGUUGUAGAUUAAUACUCUGCAAUUUUGACGUUACCGACAGAAUAAGCACCGGCUAACUCUGUGCCAGCAGCCGCGGUAAUAC
rnacentral:rRNA from 1 species